AUCUAUGGAAGCUCAGUGCAGGCAGUAUUAGCAAAGUUCUAGAGAGAUCCAUUACUGGAUAUUUUAAGGAGGACUGUAAAGGGAAAGAAGUGCCUUUCCAGCUGUUUACUGAUCAUCCUGAUUAGGUCCUUGUCUUCUCAUGAUAAUUGCGAUCAGAAAUUGAAGAUGAGUGGAUGCUUCAGUAUUGUCCUUCUGUUCACAAAGAUUUAGUCAGAGGCUGUCUGCCAAUCUGAUAAGACAAUGAGAUGCAGAAGUGUGAGGGAGGAAGAAAAAAGAAAGCAGAAGCUGAAACACCACAGGACCCCUCAAAGGCAACAAAACAGAAGUUAACCCACCGUCUCCCUUCUGAUCUGUCCUUCUGUUCUCGUACAGCUCUCCAGAACAAGGGUGCCUCACACUGUGUAUUUGUAUAGCACUGGGGUACAGUGGGGCUUCAAUUUCUGGUAGGAAUUUUAGGUGCUCUUAUGUAAAUGAUAGCAAAUAAUGUAUUAUUUAAUAUUGAUAUUUUCUAUUAUAUCUUACCGCCAAAUUCCAGGACAUUUGAGAAUAAUGUCAUGAGGUUUCUCACUGUAAAAAAGAAACACAAAACACAGGGUAAGUUAGAGAGCAGAACCCAGCUACUAUUUAAACUUUUGGUCUGGGCACCUUCUAGAAAGGCAGACUGUAUGGAACUAUUUCCAUGCUACAGGAUUAUGGCUGAGAACAUGCCAUAAAUCAUGAUGUUGCAGAUGUGAGUCUGGUAGGUAGUAAAGUUAGCCAAAUGAAAGUCCACCUCCUCCUCAUGUAAAGCAGCGUCCUUUUGGAAGUCAUUAAAAGGUUUGUGAUUUACAGUCAGUUUAUAUAACAUUUAUUGGGUCUUUCAAAUAGAAUUAUAAUAGUGAUGCUUGGAACAGAUUGACUUGCAUGGGACCACAAGUCUUACACUGCCACAAGCUGUUGUUCACCUCUGUGUUAUAAUUCUUUGGAGACAGUUUACUUAAAGUUCUUGAAGCCAACUGUCAUGAGUCUGAGCCCUAGAAGCGAGAGGAAUGCAAAUCCUAGCACAUGAAACUGUGAAAAUAAGGUCACUGUAGGUUUACUAACAGCCACAAUCUAUGAGAUGUCCCAGACUUUUCAGAACCAUAUGUACUGAUUAUUUUUAUAUAUGGAAUUUCUUCCAAGAUCUACCUGGGGCCAGAUUCACUUUGCACCUACCAUUUUUAGGUAAUAUGAAGGACAGCUACAAGAAAGAUGUACAUGUAAAUUAAACACCUGUUAUUUAAACUGAAGGCUGAGUACCUUGAGACAGUGUUGCAAGUACUCUCUGUAUUACAAAUACUGGUUCAUUCUGUAGUACCUAAUUUGAGAGUAUGCCCAUGUUGUAGUGAGAGGUGUGAUGCCUCACAAGCAGGGAUACCUGCCUAGCUUUUAUCUAGCAACUGUGGAGUUGCUGUGACAGCCUGGAUUUCAGAGUGGACUGUUCAAGGGUGACAGUGAUGCAUCCUGUACAGAAACUGAAAGAACAAGCCAUCAGUGAAGUCUAUACUGUUGCAGCUUCAUUGAUUUCUGGUACUCUAGGUAUACUGAAGAUAAUUCAGGUAUGAA